AGUGCUGGGGCCUAGCUUUGGGCACCCACGCAGAACGCGAAGCUUCCUCCCCCGCGCAGCCUCUGCCUCCCGAAUCUGGUGUGAUGCCAGGCGCUGAGGAUACAAACGACCCAGGAGGGGCGGGUACACCACCUCGUCUGGACACUCUUCCGGGAGAGCUGCGAGGCCGGACCUCCACGGCUUUGUGGAUAUUGUGUUUUUUAACAAAACUAAAGAUCUGUGGCAGCCCUGCAUCAAGCGAGUCUACUGGUGCCAUUUUUCCAACAGCAUUUGUUCCCUUCGUGCCUCUGUGUCACAUUUUGGACGUGAGCACACAGCGAGAAGGUGCCUGUCUGUGAGUCAGGAAGAAGACGCUCAUCAGAACCCAACCAUCUGGACUUCCCUGGCGGUCCAGUGGUUGAGACUCCGUGCUUCCACUGCAGGGGGCACGGGUUCUAUACCCGGUCAGGGAAAUAAGAUCCUGCAUGCCAUGCGGUGCGUCCAAAAUAAAACAAACAAAAACCCAACCAUCUUGGCACGCUGGUCUCAGAUUUCCAGCCUAUAAAAUGUGAGAAAAGAAUAUUUGUUGUUUAAGCCACCCAGGCUACGGUAUUCAUUAGAGCAGACUGAGCUAAGACAGAAUUUUGGUACUGUGAGGUGGGAUGCUGCUGUAACAAAUACCUAAAAAUGUGGAAGCAGCUUUGCAACAGGAUAAUGGGUAGAGGUUGGGAGAGUUUGGAGGUGCAUGUUAGAAAAGAUCAAGAUUGCCAUGAACAGGCAGUUAAAGGUGAUUGAGCUGAGGGCCUACAAGGAAAAGAGGAGAGCUAUAGAGAAAUGUCCAUCUUCUUAGAGAAAGCAUAAAUGUCAUGAACAGAAUGUUGGUACAAAUAUGGGCUAUAAAGCCUGUUCUGGUGAAGUCUCAGAUGGAAAUGAGGAACAUGUUAUAAGACAAUGGAGAAAAAAUGAUAAAUUUUAUAAAAAUGGCAAAGAACUCGGCACAAUUAUGUUCAUGUUUUAUGGAAGGUAGAACUUGUGAGAAAUGAAAACGCAUGUUUAACUGAGGCGAUUUCUAAGCAAAGUGUUGAAGGAGAGGCUUGGUGCCUCCUGACUGCUUAUAAUAAAAUGUGAAAAGAGAGGAAUGCAUUGAAGAAGCAAUUGUUAAGUAGAAAAUAUCCUGAGGGCUUCCCUGGUGGCACAGUGGUUGAGAAUCCGCCUGCCGAUUCCGGGGACACGGGUUCGUGCCCCGGUCCGGGAAGAUCCCACAUGCCGCGGAGCGGCUAGGCCUGUGAGCCAUGGCCGCUGAGCCUGCGCGUCCGGAGCCUCUGCUUCGCAACGGGAGAGGCCACAACAGUGAGAGGCCCGCGUACCGGAAAAAAAAAAAAAAAAAAGAGAAUCUGCCUGCCAACACAGGGGACAUGGGUUGAGCCCUGAUCCAGGAGGAUCCCACAUGCCGCGGAGCAACUAAUCCCGUGCACCACAACUACCGAGCCCGCACUCUAGAGCCUGCGAGCCACAACUACUGAGCCCACACGCCACAACUACUGAAGCCCGCUGCGCCUAGAGCCCGUGCUCAACAACAAAGAGAGACCACUGCAAUGAGAAGCCUGCGCACCACAGCAAAGAAUGGCCCCCACUGGCUGCACCUAGAGAGGGCCUGUGCACA